rnacentral:rRNA from 1 species
AACGCGAAGAACCUUACCUCUCAUAGAAGGUAAGCAGCCCUUUCACACCUUGCUCAACGUUGGCUUGGUUGUAGACGUCGAUCGUGGCGAACAGGUGGUUUCCGGCCCCGACAUAGCAUCUUUCGAUGAUGUAGUAGCUGGUAUCGGAGUAGACCGGCGGCGCGGGCACGUAGGCGGGGGCUGGUGCGACGUAGACGGUGUGCGUUCCCGGGCCUUGUACACACCGACGCGUAU